GUUUCCGUAGGUGAACCUGCGGAAGGAUCAUUAUUGAGCUAAUAACUAUCUCUUGCUGAGUUGAGUAGAAUUCAGUGAACGGCUUUGAGUGGUUUCUAUAGAUGUCUGGAGCAGUUGUAUGAGCGUGGCUGUGGUGAUGGACAUUUGAGUCAUUUUCUUAAUGACUAGGAUUAAAGAGGUAUGCACGACUCGCCAUUCUAAACAAAACUUUCAAUAACAUUUGAAUUUAUUGACUGCACCAGCCGUAGGUGCGAUUGAAUAUUUAUCUAGUCUUAUCGGUGGAUCACUCGGUUCGUAGUUCGAUGAAGAACGGGGCAAAAUCCGUUAUUUGGCGUAAAUUGCAGACGUAUUGAACGCUAAAAUUUUGAACGCAAAUGGCACUAUCAGGUUUAUAUCUGUUAGUAUGUUUGGUUGAGGGUCGAUUAACUCGUUACUUGCAAUGAGCUUUCAUUGUUUAUUCGAUUAGCUACUAUUUUCGCGAAUAGUACCUUUUCGGCAUGAAUUCUUAAUAGGUGAAUUCAUAAAUUCAUUUUAUGAACUAUUCUUAAGAAUUAUGCAAGUGCUUGCUUGACGCGUUUCUUGUCAACUGACUUGUGCGAAUUCGCAUUCGUACGUGUAUCCUAAGGUCAGAGUGAGCAGAAUUGUUUCAAAUUGCAAAAUUCAAAAGUUUUCGAUUUACGACCUCAACUCAGGCAAGAUUACCCGCUGAACUUAAGCAUAU
rnacentral:sRNA from 1 species